rnacentral:lncRNA from 1 species
UUUUUUGGUACAAGCAGGGCUUUUUGUUGCUGAAACAUCGUUGGAUCCUACAAUGGAAUUUGAUAAUACCCGUCAGCAAAGUUUGCCACACCAAUUCAGAUUGUCACCUACACCAUCUAUUGGUACAUUAUCGGAUACACCUAUGACGGGGCAGAAACGAGAUGUAUUUGAGAAGAGUAUUGAGAGUUUGCCACAGCAAUUUGGGUUGUCACCUACCCCAUCUAUUGGUACGUUAUCGGAUACACCUAUGACGGGACGGAAAAGAGAUGCUCAAGAUGCAUUUGAGAAGAGUAUCGAGAGGAGGUUAAGGAGAAAGAUCAAGAACAGGGAAUCUGC